AACACAGCCAUUAUGGGGAGGUCUGGAGCCAAACACAAGUAAACUCCACCAGGUUAUUGGGGUGGGCUCCAUGCCAGCCCACAAGCUUUAUGAAAACGCAGGAGCAACCGCCAUGCAAAGGAGACAGUGCUGCAAAGGUUGCGAGAAAACGGAGCUGCAAGAGGAGGAAGGAGGCAGCGAUGGAAGCAAGCAGCGAGAGGACACCACUGCCAGCAAUACCUGUGCCAGAGCCACAAGACUGGAAACUACCAACUUGAAUAAGGGCAAGAAAUACAUUUAAGGAAAUCUCCCAGGGAUCUGGAGGAUUAAGCAAAUACAUUGCCAGUAGGAGGUCACAGCAAAACAGGAUAAAACCCAAAGAAAUGUAAUGAAACAAUUAUAGACAGCUGUGAGUAGAAAGACAUUUGUGGAUCCGGUUAAUUCUGGUUCAUCUUUGUUAUAUAAAUCUAUUUUACAGACUUAA